rnacentral:rRNA from 1 species
GAUGAACGCUAGCAGUAUGCCUUAUACAUGCAUGUCGAACGAAGUGCUUUAUGCACUUAGUGGCAAAUGGGUGAGUAACACGUACUUAACCUACCUUUUAGAUUGGAAUAACCAUGAGAAAUACGUGGAUAAUACCGAAUAUGAUUUAUUUUCGUCAUGAAAUUAAUUUUGUAAAGAAGCGUUUGUCUUCGCUAAAGAAUGGGGUGCGCGACAUUAGUUUGUUGGUAGGUAAAGGCUACCAAGACUAUGAUGUCUAGCCGACGCUGAGAGCUGACCGGCCACAUUGGGACUGAGA